UCGGGAAUUUUGGGCAAUGGGCGAAAGCCUGACCCAGCAACGCCGCGUGAGGGAUGAAGUAUUUCGGUUUGUAAACCUCGAAAGAAUGGGAAGAAUAAAUGACGGUACCAUUUAUAAGCUCCGGCUAACUACGUGCCAGCAGCCGCGGGAAUACGUAGGGAGCAAGCGUUGUUCGGAUUUACUGGGCGUAAAGGGCGCGUAGGCGGCGCGGUAAGUCACUUGUGAAAUCUCUGAGCUUAACUCAGAACGGCCAAGUGAUACUGCUGUGCUAGAGUGCGGAAGAGGCAACCGGAAUUCUUGGUGUAGCGGUGAAAUGCGUAGAUAUCAAGAGGAACACCUGAGGCGAAGGCGGGUUGCUGGGCCGACACUGACGCUGAUGCGCGAAAGCCAG
rnacentral:rRNA from 1 species